rnacentral:rRNA from 1 species
UACGGGGGGGGCAAGCGUUGUUCGGAAUUACUGGGCGUAAAGGGCUCGUAGGUGGCCAACUAAGUCGGACGUGAAAUCCCUCGGCUUAACCGGGGAACUGCGUCCGAUACUGGAUGGCUUGAGUUUGGGAGAGGGACGCGGAAUUCCAGGUGUAGCGGUGAAAUGCGUAGAUAUCUGGAGGAACACCGGUGGCGAAGGCGGCGUCCUGGACCAACACUGACACUGAGGAGCGAAAGCCAGGGGAGCAAACAGG